GGUCGUUUUAAAAUACCAAGAAUAUUUGCUGUCAGAUGAAACUCCGAAGAAAACAGCAAAAUGCAGUACCCUUAGAGGAUGGCCUUAGCACAAGCAGUCUGCCUGUCUGACGGUAAAACAAACCUCAGAAUACAGAAACAACAGAAGAAAGACACCCAAGAAUCUGCUGCAAUUGCCACCAUAAUGGAACAGUGUGUGAUGAAGAGUUGGAAAAAUGAAGAACAUAGUGGAAAGAUGGAAGAGAAGAGAAAGCAAGGCCAAGGAAUGUGUACACUACACUGUGGACAAAGGUAGAACUGGAAACUCUAUGGCAGUGGGGAACAGGCAAAUAUGAGGAGAACAUGGUAAUAUCUGCCCCUGGCAUAUCACCAAGGACACUCUCUAGAUCCAUGAUCAUGCUGCACUGGGAAUCUGAGUUGAUGCUCAUGGUCCAGGUUACCACCAAAGGCCAAGCACAUCACCAUGCUCUAGGAUG